GAUCCUGGCUUAGGACGAACGCUGGCGGUGUGCCUCAUACAUGCAAGUCGAACGAUAAGGUCUCUUCGGAGAUACAUAAGUGGCGGACGGGUGAGUACAACAUAGGAAAUCUGCCCUAAAGCGGGGGACAACAGAGGGAAACUUCUGCUAAUACCCCAUAUGAGCUUAGUUGAAAUACUAAUCUUGAAAGAUUUAUCACUUUAGGAUGAGCCUGUGCCUGAUUAGCUGGUUGGUGGCGUAAUGGACUACCAAGGCGACGAUCAGUAGCUGGUUUGAGAGGAUGAUCAGCCACAAUGGGACUGAGACACGGCCCAUACUCCUACGGGAGGCAGCAGUAGGGAAUUUUGCGCAAUGGGCGAAAGCCUGAACCGCAGCAACACCGCGUGAAUGUUAAGCCCUUCGGGGUGUAAAGUUCUGUCAGUAGGGAAGAACAAAUGACUGUACCUGCAAAGGAAGCACCGGCUAACUCCGUGCCAGCCGCUGC
rnacentral:rRNA from 1 species